CUGGUUGAUCCUGCCGGACCCGACUGCUAUCGGAGUGAGACUAAGCCAUGCGAGUCGUGCGCUCCGGGCUGGCGGAGCGCGGCGUACGGCUCAGUAACACGUGGUCAACCUACCCUGCGGACGGCUAUAACCCCGGGAAACUGGGGCUAAUAGCCGAUAGGGGAUAGGUGCUGGAAGGCCUUGUCCUCGAAAGGCCUAACCACCCAUGCCGUGGUUAGGCGCCGCAGGAUGGGACUGCGCCCUAUCAGGUAGACGGUGGGGUAACGGCCCACCGUGCCUGUAACGGGUGCGGGCCCUGGGAGGGGGAGCCCGGAGAUGGGCACUGAGACAAGGGCCCAGGCCCUACGGGGUGCAGCAGGCGCGAAAACUCCGCUAUGCGCGAAAGCGCGACGGGGUCACUCCGAGUGCCGCCCGCUGAGGGCGGCUUUUGCCCAGUCCAAAAGGCUGGGUGAAUAAGGGGAGGGCAAGUUUGGUGUCAGCCGCCGCGGUAAUACCAACUCCCCGAGUGGUCGGGACGAUUAUUGGGCUUAAAGCGUCCGUAGCCGGCCCGGUGUGUCUCUGGUCAAAUCCGGCGUUUCAAGCGCCGGACCGCCGGAGAUACUACUGGGCUAGGGAGCGGGAGAGGCGGGCGGUAUUCCCUGGGUAGGGGUAAAAUCCUAAGAUCCAGGGAGGACCAUCGGUGGCGAAGGCGGCCCGCUAGAACGCGUCCGACGGUGAGGGACGAAAGCUGGGGGAGCGAUCCGGAUUAGAUACCCGGGUAGUCCCAGCCGUAAACGAUGCAGGCUAGGUGUGUGGGCACCUUAGGGGUGCCCAUGUGCCGAAGGGAAGCCGUUAAGCCUGCCGCCUGGGGAGUACGGCCGCAAGGCUGAAACUUAAAGGAAUUGGCGGGGGAGCACCACAAGGGGUGGAGCCUGCGGUUCAAUUGGAGUCAACGCCGG
rnacentral:rRNA from 1 species